CCCGAAAGGGUAGCUAAUACCGGAUGAAACGACUGAGGCGAGAGGCUCUGGUCGUCAAAAGCCUUAGCAGCGCUCUAUGAUCGGCUCGCGGCCCAUUAGGUAGAUGGUGAGGGUAACGGCCCACCAUGCCGACGAUGGGUAGCUGGUCUGAGAGGAUGGUCAGCCACACUGGGACUGAGACACGGCCCAGACUCCUACGGGAGGCAGCAGUGGGGAAUCUUGCGCAAUGGGGGCAACCCUGACGCAGCGAUGCCGCGUGUGUGAAGAAGGCCUUCGGGUUGUAAAGCACUGUCAGGAGGGAAGAAACCGGACAAGUCCCGUGUGACGGUACCUCCACAGGAAGCACCGGCCAACUCCGUGCCAGCAGCCGCGGUAAUACGGAGGGUGCAAGCGAUGUUCGGAAUCAUUGGGCGUAAAGCGUCCGUAGGCGGUCUGGCAAGUCUGGUGUGAAAGCCCGAGGCUCAACCUCGGAGGCGCACUGGAAACUGUCAGACUUGAGACCGAGAGGGGCCAGUGGAAUUCGUGGUGUAGGGGUGAAAUCCGUAGAUAUCACGAAGAACACCGGCGGCGAAAGCGACUGGCUGGACCGGGACUGACACUCAGCUACGAAAGCGUAGGUAGCGAACAGGAUUAGAUACCCUGGUAGUCUACGCUGUAAUCGAUGUUCACUAGCCGUUGCGUAAUGAAGUGCGCA
rnacentral:rRNA from 1 species